UUUCUGGAGAUGACCGUCAUAUUGAAGUAGGAGAUGACAACGACUUGAUGAAAGUUGAUACCUGCUGGUAUUUUUUAUUCGCGAGUACUACAGAGUCAAUACAGCGAGAUCUUGAGCAGAACUUUUGGCUUCGUCGAAACGCUCAGGAUUUUUUUCGGCUCCUUCAGGCGGAAGUAGAACUUUUCAAUUACAAAGAAUCACAUAGCAGGAUUGUCACAUACUUUUAUCGAUGUAUGAACAGCAAAAAUCCUGAUACCGUUCCUGAACUGAAGAGAUUCUUGAAGUGCAGAACUAAAAUGAGUGAUGAUGUUUAUCGGAAACUAUUGUUUGUAGCAGGAGACCACAUGCUUGAUGGAAACGUGUUAUUAUUUGUUAAAUAUCAUGUUUAUAAAUUGCCGAAUCUGAAUGCGGAUCAGAAAAAAGAAUUGAUAGAUUGUUUGGAAUCACGAGAAUGAAAAAUUCAACUAAACAAUUUCAUUCUGGAGUGAUGAAUGAUACAGAAAUAAAAAUUACUUCUGUGGCGAA